rnacentral:rRNA from 1 species
CGCUGGCGGCGUGCCUAAUACAUGCAAGUCGAGCGCGGGAAGCGGACUCGUCACCCUUCGGGGUGUCUAGUCCGUGGAACGAGCGGCGGAUGGGUGAGUAUCACGUGGGCAACCUGCCUGUAAGAUUGGGAUAACUCGCGGAAACGUGAGCUAAUACCGAAUGAAGUCUUUCACCACCUGGUGAAAGGAUGAAAGAUGGCUUUUAGCUAUCACUUACAGAUGGGCCCGCGGCGCAUUAGCUAGUUGGUGGGGUAAAGGCCUACCAAGGCGACGAUGCGUAGCCGACCUGAGAGGGUGAUCGGCCACACUGGGACUGAGACACGGCCCAGACUCCUACGGGAGGCAGCAGUAGGGAAUCUUCCGCAAUGGACGAAAGUCUGACGGAGCAACGCCGCGUGAAGUGAUGAAGGUCUUCGGAUCGUAAAACUCUGUUGUCAGGGAAGAACAAGUUGUGUUCUAACAGGACAUGACCUUGACGGUACCUGACCAGAAAGCCCCGGCUAACUACGUGCCAGCCGCCGC